rnacentral:tRNA from 1 species
GCCCUCGUAGCUCAGUUGGAUAGAGCGUCCGCCUCCUAAGCGGAAGGUCGCAGGUUCGAAUCCUGCCGAGGGCACCA